rnacentral:rRNA from 1 species
UACAGGGGGUGCAAACGUUGCUCGGAAUUAUUGGGCGUAAAGCGCGCGUAGGCGGCUACCUAAGUCGGAUGUGAAAGCCCCUGGCUUAACUGGGGAAGUGCACCCGAAACUGGGUAGCUAGAGUGCAAAAGAGGGUCGCGGAAUUCCCGGGUGUAGAGGUGAAAUUCGUAGAUAUCGGGAGGAACACCGGGUGGCGAAGGCGGCGACCUGGGUUGACACUGACGCUGAGGAGCGAAAGCGUGGGAGCGAGCAGGAAUCAGGAUUCCGUAGUCCU